AUGUCGCCGGGUCGAAGCAGCUGGAGUCCACGGUCGCGAGGCCACCGGCCUCUCGGCGUUUCUCCAGCCUGUCAGCUUCCGGCCAGCCCACGCCAGCAUCUGUCGUCAGGCAGAGAAGCCACAAAGGUGCUUGCUGCCAAGGACCAAGAUGACGCAGAAACCGAAGAGGAAGACGACCUGCCGGUGGCGGAGGUCCACGGCCGGGGCCUUGUGGUGACCGCGGGAGCCUGGCUCCUCAGCCGCGUGGGCGUCAAGAUCCGGGUCCUCCUGCCGGCGGCCGCUCGCUUCCGGCGGCCGCUUUCCCGCCAGCGCCGCCGCGGCCCCGGGCCUGGGCGAGGCGGACUCCUCCACCGCGGUGCGGGGGAUGGAAGGAGCCGGAGAGGAGGUGCAGGACAUCAGAAAGCAAGAAGGGGCAAGAGACUUCCAUUAUGGCUGUGGAGGCUGCUGACAGUAGCUACAGGAAAUGGAUUCCCUGAGCCCUGCCUUCCUGUCAGGAGUGAAAGCAAGCGGUCCUGGAGAGCUGCCUCUUCAUCUCUGGGCUGGGGAAAAGGAGGGGUUUUAUUUAGUACCAGUUUCUUCCUUCUAGAAUGCUGUAGUCAAGUGAAUGCCCAACUGGGACUCUACGCAGUGCACAUUCAGCCUGUUAAUGUCAGCCUCAAGUAUUGCAGCACUUCUGAAACAUCGCCUGAGAAGGAGGAAACUGAAAAUGAGGGAGAGAACAGAAGCUUGAUGAGGCAGUGGGAGCUCAAGCACUGA
rnacentral:lncRNA from 1 species